UUAGAGGAGGAUCCUUGAUCUAUCCUUAGUAUUCCUUUCAACCUCAGGAGGGUUUCUUCCUCCAGAUGAGUUUGGUGAACCUUGAAGUCUAGAGAGGGCAGCAGAGAAAAAUGUCAGCAGAGAAAACUGGAGUCUCAAGCAAAAAUUCUUCUUCCUAUUGGCAGAAGAGUUCUGGUUAACUAGUCAAGUUACAUAUAAAUCCACUUAUUCAAACUAGCAGGCUUAUGACAUUUUAAACAUAGAGAUUAUUAGUCUAUU
rnacentral:lncRNA from 1 species